UUAAGUUAGAAAGGGCGCACGGUGGAUGCCUUGACACUAGGAGUCGAUGAAGGACGGGACUAACGCCGAUAUGCUUCGGGGAGCUGUAAGUAAGCUUUGAUCCGAAGAUUUCCGAAUGGGGAAACCCACCAUACGUAAUGGUAUGGUAUCCUUAUCUGAAUACAUAGGGUAAGGAAGACAGACCCAGGGAACUGAAACAUCUAAGUACCUGGAGGAAGAGAAAGCAAAUGCGAUUUCCUGAGUAGCGGCGAGCGAAACGGAACAUAGCCCAAACCAAGAGGCUUGCCUCUUGGGGUUGUAGGACAUUCUAUACGGAGUUACAAAGGAACGAGGUAGACGAAGCGACCUGGAAAGGUCCGUCGUAGAGGGUAACAACCCCGUAGUCGAAACUUCGUUCUCUCUUGAAUGUAUCCUGAGUACGGCGGAACACGUGAAAUUCCGUCGGAAUCUGGGAGGACCAUCUCCCAAGGCUAAAUACUCCCUAGUGAUCGAUAGUGAACCAGUACCGUGAGGGAAAGGUGAAAAGCACCCCGGAAGGGGAGUGAAAGAGAUCCUGAAACCGUGUGCCUACAAAUAGUCAGAGCCCGUUAACGGGUGAUGGCGUGCCUUUUGUAGAAUGAACCGGCGAGUUACGAUCCCGUGCGAGGUUAAGCUGAAGAGGCGGAGCCGCAGCGAAAGCGAGUCUGAAUAGGGCGUUUAGUACGUGGUCGUAGACCCGAAACCAGGUGAUCUACCCAUGUCCAGGGUGAAGUUCAGGUAACACUGAAUGGAGGCCCGAACCCACGCACGUUGAAAAGUGCGGGGAUGAGGUGUGGGUAGCGGAGAAAUUCCAAUCGAACCUGGAGAUAGCUGGUUCUCCCCGAAAUAGCUUUAGGGCUAGCCUUAAGUGUAAGAGUCUUGGAGGUAGAGCACUGAUUGGACUAGGGGUCCUCAUCGGAUUACCGAAUUCAGUCAAACUCCGAAUGCCAAUGACUUAUCCUUAGGAGUCAGACUGCGAGUGAUAAGAUCCGUAGUCAAAAGGGAAACAGCCCAGACCGCCAGCUAAGGUCCCAAAGUGUGUAUUAAGUGGAAAAGGAUGUGGAGUUGCUUAGACAACUAGGAUGUUGGCUUAGAAGCAGCCACCAUUUAAAGAGUGCGUAAUAGCUCACUAGUCGAGUGACUCUGCGCCGAAAAUGUACCGGGGCUAAAUACACCACCGAAGCUGCGGAUUGAUACCAAUGGUAUCAGUGGUAGGGGAGCGUUCUAAGGACAGUGAAGUCAGACCGGAAGGACUGGUGGAGUGCUUAGAAGUGAGAAUGCCGGUAUGAGUAGCGAAAGACGGGUGAGAAUCCCGUCCACCGAAUGCCUAAGGUUUCCUGAGGAAGGCUCGUCCGCUCAGGGUUAGUCAGGACCUAAGCCGAGGCCGACAGGCGUAGGCGAUGGACAACAGGUUGAUAUUCCUGUACCACCUCUUUAUCGUUUGAGCAAUGGAGGGACGCAGAAGGAUAGAAGAAGCGUGCGAUUGGUUGUGCACGUCCAAGCAGUUAGGCUGAUAAGUAGGCAAAUCCGCUUAUCGUAAAGGCUGAGCUGUGAUGGGGAAGCUCCUUAUGGAGCGAAGUCUUUGAUUCCCCGCUGCCAAGAAAAGCUUCUAGCGAGAUAAAAGGUGCCUGUACCGCAAACCGACACAGGUAGGCGAGGAGAGAAUCCUAAGGUGUGCGAGAGAACUCUGGUUAAGGAACUCGGCAAAAUGACCCCGUAAACUUCGGGAGAAGGGGUGCUUUCUUAACGGAAAGCCGCAGUGAAUAGGCCCAAGCGACUGUUUAGCAAAAACACAGCUCUCUGCGAAGCCGUAAGGCGAAGUAUAGGGGGUGACACCUGCCCGGUGCUGGAAGGUUAAGGAGAGGGGUUAGCGUAAGCGAAGCUCUGAACUGAAGCCCCAGUAAACGGCGGCCGUAACUAUAACGGUCCUAAGGUAGCGAAAUUCCUUGUCGGGUAAGUUCCGACCCGCACGAAGGGUGUAACGAUUUGGGCACUGUCUCAACCAGAGACUCGGUGAAAUUAUAGUACCUGUGAAGAUGCAGGUUACCCGCGACAGGACGGAAAGACCCCGUGGAGCUUUACUGUAGCCUGAUAUUGAAUUUUGGUACAGUUUGUACAGGAUAGGCGGGAGCCUUUGAAACCGGAGCGCUAGCUUCGGUGGAGGCGCUGGUGGGAUACCGCCCUGACUGUAUUGAAAUUCUAACCUACGGGUCUUAUCGACCCGGGAGACAGUGUCAGGUGGGCAGUUUGACUGGGGCGGUCGCCUCCUAAAGUGUAACGGAGGCGCCCAAAGGUUCCCUCAGAAUGGUUGGAAAUCAUUCGUAGAGUGCAAAGGCAUAAGGGAGCUUGACUGCGAGACCUACAAGUCGAGCAGGGACGAAAGUCGGGCUUAGUGAUCCGGUGGUUCCGCAUGGAAGGGCCAUCGCUCAACGGAUAAAAGCUACCCCGGGGAUAACAGGCUUAUCUCCCCCAAGAGUCCACAUCGACGGGGAGGUUUGGCACCUCGAUGUCGGCUCAUCGCAUCCUGGGGCUGUAGUCGGUCCCAAGGGUUGGGCUGUUCGCCCAUUAAAGCGGUACGCGAGCUGGGUUCAGAACGUCGUGAGACAGUUCGGUCCCUAUCCGUCGUGGGCGUAGGAAAUUUGAGAGGAGCUGUCCUUAGUACGAGAGGACCGGGAUGGACGCACCGCUGGUGUACCAGUUGUUCUGCCAAGGGCAUAGCUGGGUAGCUAUGUGCGGAAGGGAUAAGUGCUGAAAGCAUCUAAGCAUGAAGCCCCCCUCAAGAUGAGAUUUCCCAUAGCGUAAGCUAGUAAGAUCCCUGAAAGAUGAUCAGGUUGAUAGGUUCGAGGUGGAAGCAUGGUGACAUGUGGAGCUGACGAAUACUAAUAGAUCGAGGACUUAACCAU
rnacentral:rRNA from 1 species